UAAUACAUGCAAGUCGAACGCUUUGUGCUUAAUUGAUAUGACGAGCUUGCUCUGAUUUGAUUUUUUGAUUUCAAAGAGUGGCGAACGGGUGAGUAACACGUGGGUAACCUACCUCUUAGCAGGGGAUAACAUUUGGAAACAAGUGCUAAUACCGUAUAAUACCAACAACCGCAUGGUUGUUGGUUGAAAGAUGGUUCUGCUAUCACUAAGAGAUGGACCCGCGGUGCAUUAGCUAGUUGGUAAGGUAAUGGCUUACCAAGGCAAUGAUGCAUAGCCGAGUUGAGAGACUGAUCGGCCACAAUGGGACUGAGACACGGCCCAUACUCCUACGGGAGGCAGCAGUAGGGAAUCUUCCACAAUGGGCGCAAGCCUGAUGGAGCAACGCCGCGUGUGUGAUGAAGGGUUUCGGCUCGUAAAACACUGUUAUAAGAGAAGAACGGCACUGAGAGUAACUGUUCAGUGUGUGACGGUAUCUUACCAGAAAGGAACGGCUAAAUACGUGCCAGCAGCCGCGGUAAUACGUAUGUUCCAAGCGUUAUCCGGAUUUAUUGGGCGUAAAGCGAGCGCAGACGGUUAUUUAAGUCUGAAGUGAAAGCCCUCAGCUCAACUGAGGAAUUGCUUUGGAAACUGGAUGACUUGAGUGCAGUAGAGGAAAGUGGAACUCCAUGUGUAGCGGUGAAAUGCGUAGAUAUAUGGAAGAACACCAGUGGCGAAGGCGGCUUUCUGGACUGUAACUGACGUUGAGGCUCGAAAGUGUGGGUAGCAAACAGGAUUAGAUACCCUGGUAGUCCACACCGUAAACGAUGAGUGCUAGAUGUUCGAGGGUUUCCGCCCUUGAGUGUCGCAGCUAACGCA
rnacentral:rRNA from 1 species